rnacentral:rRNA from 1 species
UACGUAGGGGGCAAGCGUUGUCCGGAUUUAUUGGGCGUAAAGAGCUCGUAGGUGGUUCGGUAAGUCGGAUGUGAAAUCUCCAGGCUCAACCUGGAGGGGUCAUUCGAUACUGCCGUGACUAGAGUUCGGUAGGGGAGUGUGGAAUUCCUGGUGGAGCGGUGAAAUGCGUAGAUAUUAGGAAGAACACCAGUGGCGAAGGCGGCCAACUGGCCCGAUACUGACGCUCAUGUGCGAAAGCGUGGGGAGCAAACAGG